rnacentral:rRNA from 1 species
UACGUAGGGUGCAAGCGUUGUCCGGAAUUAUUGGGCGUAAAGAGCUCGUAGGCGGUCUGUCGCGUCUGCUGUGAAAACUCAGGGCUUAACCCUGAGCUUGCAGUGGGUACGGGCAGACUAGAGUGCGGUAGGGGAGACUGGAACUCCUGGUGUAGCGGUGAAAUGCGCAGAUAUCAGGAGGAACACCGGUGGCGAAGGCGGGUCUCUGGGCCGUAACUGACGCUGGAGGAGCG